AGGAUGGGCAGGGUUCCCCUAUGGGCUCUAUAGGUUCCCCUAUGGACUCUAUAGAUUCCCCUGUGGGCUCUAUAGGUUCCCCUAUGGGCUCUAUAGGUUCCCAUCCCCUAUAGAGAGUGUAGGGGUCGGCGUGUGCCGGGGCUCUAUAGGUUCCCCUAUGAGAUCUAUAGGUUCCUCUGUGGGCUCUAUAGGUUCCCCUAUGGACUCUAUAGGUUUCUCUAUGGGAUCUCUAGGUUCCCAUCCCCUAUAGGAUGUGUAGAUCCCCUAUAGGGUGUGUAGGGGCCGGCGUGUGCCGGGGCUCUAUAGGUUCCCCGGCCGUAGGUGACCCCAGCCUUGCUGUGGCCUCGGCCCCGGGGGCGGCGCACCGGACAGCGCCCCCCGCUGGGGGACAGGGCCUAUGGAUCCCCCUAUGGAUCCCCUAUAGAUCAGCUCUGGAUCCCCUAUGGAUCCCCCCCAUGGAAUCCCAGAAUCCCCCACAGAUCCCCUAUGGAAUCCCUUAUGGAUCCCCCACAGAUCCCCCAUGGAUCUCCCAUAGAUCCCCCAUAGAAUCCCACAGAUCCCCUAUGGAAUCACCUAUAGAUUCCUCCCCAGAUCCCCCCCAUGGAUCAUGUGUGAGUCCCCUAUAGAUCCCCACAGAUCUCCUAUGGAUCCCCCCCAUGGAAUCCCCUAUGGAUCUCCUAUAGAUCCCCACAGAUCUCCUAUGGAUUCCCCCCAUGGAAUCCCACAGAAUCCCAUGGAUCCCCCUAUGGAAUCCCCUAUAGAUCCCCCUAUGGAUCAUUUAUGGAUCCCCACAGAUCCCCCUACGGAAUCCCCUAUAGAUCCCCUAUGGAUCAUUUAUGGAUCCCCACAGAUCCCCUACAGACCACCAUGGAAUCCCCACAGAUCCCCUAUGGAAUCUCUUAUGGAUCCCCUAUGGAUUUCCCCACAGAUCCCCCUAUGGAAUCCCCAAGGGAUCACCCACAGAAUCCCCACAGAACCCCUAUGGAUCCCCUAUAGAAUCCCCUAUAGAUCAGCAAUGGAAUCCCCUAUAGAUCAGCAAUGAAAUCCCCACAGAUCCCCUAUAGAUCCCCACGGAAUCCCAUGGAAUCCCCCAUGGAAUCCCCUAUAGAUCCCC